rnacentral:rRNA from 1 species
UACAGAGGGGGCAAGCGUUAUUCGGAAUUAUUGGGCGUAAAGGGCGCGUAGGCGGCUUUGCAAGUGACGGGUGAAAGCCCUCGGCUUAACCGAGGAACUGCCUGUCAGACUGUAAGGCUUGAGACCGGGAGAGGUGAGUGGAAUUCCCAGUGUAGCGGUGAAAUGCGUAGAUAUCUGGAGGAACACCGGUGGCGAAGGCGGCAUCCUGGACCGGUAUUGACGCUGAGGCGCGAAAGCUAGGGUAGCAAACGGG